GGAAAAAAACUACCAAACAUUCAGGGCGUACUCCUUCAAACUAAUCAUGCACUACUUUAAGUUCAUGAACUCUUAAGCCUUCGAUUCCCACAACUCCUAAUGAACAAAAAUGAUUAAGAAAGGAACCCAAAAACUCAUCCCAUGCCCAUAAAUCAGCAGAAAUAUUCUCUUUCCAUGCCCAUUACCUCGUGACUCUUCCCACUCUUCAUACCAC
rnacentral:lncRNA from 1 species